rnacentral:pre_miRNA from 1 species
UAUGUACUCCCUCCUUUCCAAAAUACUUGACUUCCAUUUGUCCAAAAAUGGAUGUACCUAUAUACUAAAACAUGUCUAGAUACAUAUAUAUUUUCACAAAUAGAAGGCAUGUAUUGUGCAACGGAGGGAGUAGAAU